GUAGCGUAAUCACUUGUCUUUUAAAUAGAGACCUGUAUGAAUGGCAUAACGAGGGCUGUACUGUCUCCUUUCUCCAGUCAAUGAAAUUGAUCUGCCCGUGCAGAAGCGGGCAUAAAACCAUAAGACGAGAAGACCCUAUGGAGCUUUAGACACCGAAGCAGCCCGCGUUAAAGAACCCCAGCCGAAAGGGGGAGGAACAAAGCGGCCCCUACUUUUUUGUCUUUGGUUGGGGCGACCGCGGAGAAAAACCAAACCCCCGCGUGGAACGGGAUCUCCCCUUGAAGCGAGGCCCACAGGCCUAAGAUCCAGAAAAUCUGACCAUAAAGACCCGGCAAUGCCGAUCAACGGACCCAGUUACCCUAGGGAUAACAGCGCAAUCCCCUUUUAGAGCUCACAUCGACGAGGGGGUUUACGACCUCGAUGUUG
rnacentral:rRNA from 1 species